rnacentral:rRNA from 1 species
GAGUGGCAGACGGGUGAGUAACGCGUGGGAACAUACCCUUUCCUGCGGAAUAGCUCCGGGAAACUGGAAUUAAUACCGCAUACGUUUACGGGGGAAAGAUUUAUCGGGGAAGGAUUGGCCCGCGUUGGAUUAGCUAGUUGGUGGGGUAAAGGCCUACCAAGGCGACGAUCCAUAGCUGGUCUGAGAGGAUGAUCAGCCACAUUGGGACUGAGACACGGCCCAAACUCCUACGGGAGGCAGCAGUGGGGAAUAUUGGACAAUGGGCGCAAGCCUGAUCCAGCCAUGCCGCGUGAGUGAUGAAGGCCUUAGGGUUGUAAAGCUCUUUCACCGAUGAAAGAUAAUUGACCGAGUAGUCAGGAGAAAAGAAGCCCCGGCUUAAAUUUCGUGACCAGACAGCCCGCGGUUAAUACGAAAGGGGGGCUAGCGAUUGUUCGGAAUUUAACUGGGCCGUAAAAAGCGCACGUAGGCGGGAUAUUUUAAGUCAGGGGGGUGAAAUCCCGACAGCCUCAACCUGGCGGGAACUGCCUUUUGAUACUUGGGUACUGCUUUGAGUAUGGAAGAGGGUAAUGUGGAAUUUCCGAGUGUAGAGGUGAAAUUUCGUAGAUAUUCGGAAGGAACACCAGUGGGCGAAGGCGGCUUACUGGUCCCAUUUACUGACGCUGAGGUGCGAAAAGCGUGGGGAGCAAAACAAGGAUUAGAUACCCUGGUAGUCCACGCCGUAAACGAUGAAUGUUAGCCGUCGGGCAAGUAUACUGUUUCGGUGGGCGCAGCUAACGCAUUAAACAUUCCGCCUGGGGAGUACGGUCGCAAGAUUUAAAACUCAAAGGAAUUGACGGGGGCCCAGUCACAAGCGGUGGAGCAUGUGGUUUUAAUUCGAAAGCAACGCGCAGAACCCUUAACCAGCCUCUUUGACAUUUCGGGGUUAUGGGCAUUUGGAAGACGAUUGUCUCGUUCGAGUUUAGCUGGCCCCCAAGAAACAGGUGCUUGCCAUGGGCUUGUUCGUCAGCCUCGUGUCCGUGGAGAAUUGUUGGGGUCUACAGUCCCGCAACGAGCGCAACCCUCGCCCUUAGUUGCCAGCAUUUAGUUGGGCACUCUAAGGGGACUGCCGGUGAUAAGCCGAGAGGAAGGUGGGGAUGACGUCAAGUCCUCAUGGCCCUUACGGGCUGGGCUACACACGUGCUACAAUGGUGGUGACAGUGGGCAGCGAGACAGCGAUGUCGAGCUAAUCUCCAAAAGCCAUCUCAGUUCGGAUUGCACUCUGCAACUCGAGUGCAUGAAGUUGGAAUCGCUAGUAAUCGCAGAUCAGCAUGCUGCGGUGAAUACGUUCCCGGGCCUUGUACACACCGCCCGUCACACCAUGGGAGUUGGUUUUACCCGAAGGUAGUGCGCUAACCGCAAGGAGCAGCUAACCAC